rnacentral:rRNA from 1 species
AUGAACGCUGGCGGCGUGCCUAAUACAUGCAAGUCGAACGGAGAUUGUAGCAAUACAUUCUUAGUGGCGAACGGGUGAGUAACGCGUUGGUGACCUGCCCCAAAGUGAGGGAUAACAGCCCGAAAGGGUUGCUAAUACCUCAUGUGGUCUUAGAGAUUAGAUGCUCUUAGACUAAAGGAUUUAUUCGCUUUGGGAGGGGCCUGCGUCCCAUCAGCUUGUUGGUGAGGUAAUGGCUUACCAAGGCUAUGACGGGUAGGGGACCUGAGAGGGUGACCCCCCACAAUGGAACUGAAACACGGUCCAUACACCUACGGGUGGCAGCAGUAGGGAAUAUUGGUAAUGGGCGAAAGCCUGAACCAGCAACGCCGCGUGUGCGAAGAAGGCCUUCGGGUUGUAAAGCACUUUUUAAGGGGAUGAGGAAGGACAGUACCCUUAGAAUAAGCCUCGGCUAACUACGU